rnacentral:misc_RNA from 1 species
GAUGAAGAACGUAGCGAAAUGCGAUACGUAAUGUGAAUUGCAGAAUUCAGUGAAUCAUCGAAUCUUUGAACGCAUAUUGCGCUCUUUGGUAUUCCGAAGAGCAUGCUUGUUUGAGUAUCAGUAAACACCUCAACCUCUUCUUGAUUUUUCAAAAGGAGGGUGGACUUGAGCUAUCCCAACAACCUUUACCGGUCGGCGGGCGGCUUGAAAUGCAGGUGCAGCUGGACUUUUAUCUGAGCUAAAAGCAUAUCUAUUUAGUCCUCGUCAAACAUGAUUAUUACUUUUGCUGCAGCUAACAUAAAGGAUAAUUGUCCUCUUUGCUGACUGAUGCAGGAUUUUACGACACUUUAUGUGUUGUUCAACUCAAUCUCAAAUCAAGUAAGACUACCCGCUGAACUUAAGCAUAUCAAUAAGCGGAGGA